rnacentral:rRNA from 1 species
UACGGGGGGAGCAAGCGUUGUUCGGAUUUACUGGGCGUAAAGGGCGGGUAGGCGGCCACCGCAAGUCAGUUGUGAAAUCUCUGGGCUUAACCCAGAAAGGUCAACUGAUACUGCGGGGCUAGAGUGCAGAAGGGGCAACUGGAAUUCUCGGUGUAGCGGUGAAAUGCGUAGAUAUCGAGAGGAACACCUGCGGCGAAGGCGGGUUGCUGGGCAGUAACUGACGCUGAGGAGCGAAAGCGUGGGGAGCGAACAGG